GACGAACGCUGGCGGCGUGCUUAACACAUGCAAGUCGAUCGGAAAGGCCCUGCUUUUGUGGGGUGCUCGAGUGGCGAACGGGUGAGUAACACGUGAGUAACCUGCCCUUGACUUUGGGAUAACUUCAGGAAACUGGGGCUAAUACCGGAUAGGAGCUCCUGCUGCAUGGUGGGGGUUGGAAAGUUUCGGCGGUUGGGGAUGGACUCGCGGCUUAUCAGCUUGUUGGUGGGGUAGUGGCUUACCAAGGCUUUGACGGGUAGCCGGCCUGAGAGGGUGACCGGCCACAUUGGGACUGAGAUACGGCCCAGACUCCUACGGGAGGCAGCAGUGGGGAAUAUUGCACAAUGGGCGGAAGCCUGAUGCAGCAACGCCGCGUGCGGGAUGACGGCCUUCGGGUUGUAAACCGCUUUCGCCUGUGACGAAGCGUGAGUGACGGUAAUGGGUAAAGAAGCACCGGCUAACUACGUGCCAGCAGCCGCGGUGAUACGUAGGGUGCGAGCGUUGUCCGGAUUUAUUGGGCGUAAAGGGCUCGUAGGUGGUUGAUCGCGUCGGAAGUGUAAUCUUGGGGCUUAACCCUGAGCGUGCUUUCGAUACGGGUUGACUUGAGGAAGGUAGGGGAGAAUGGAAUUCCUGGUGGAGCGGUGGAAUGCGCAGAUAUCAGGAGGAACACCAGUGGCGAAGGCGGUUCUCUGGGCCUUUCCUGACGCUGAGGAGCGAAAGCAUGGGGAGCGAACAGGCUUAGAUACCCUGGUAGUCCACGCUGUAAACGGUGGGUACUAGGUGUGGGGUCCAUUCCACGGGUUCCGUGCCGUAGCUAACGCUUUAAGUACCCCGCCUGGGGAGUACGGCCGCAAGGCUAAAACUCAAAGGAAUUGACGGGGCCCCGCACAAGCGGCGGAGCAUGCGGAUUAAUUCGAUGCAACGCGUAGAACCUUACCUGGGUUUGACAUGGAUCGGGAGUGCUCAGAGAUGGGUGUGCCUCUUUUGGGGUCGGUUCACAGGUGGUGCAUGGCUGUCGUCAGCUCGUGUCGUGAGAUGUUGGGUUAAGUCCCGCAACGAGCGCAACCCUUGUUCACUGUUGCCAGCACGUUAUGGUGGGGACUCAGUGGAGACCGCCGGGGUCAACUCGGAGGAAGGUGGGGAUGACGUCAAGUCAUCAUGCCCCUUAUGUCCAGGGCUUCACGCAUGCUACAAUGGCUGGUACAGAGAGUGGCGAGCCUGUGAGGGUGAGCGAAUCUCGGAAAGUCGGUCUCAGUUCGGAUUGGGGUCUGCAACUCGACCUCAUGAAGUCGGAGUCGCUAGUAAUCGCAGAUCAGCAACGCUGCGGAGAAUACGUUCCCGGG
rnacentral:rRNA from 1 species